CGAAAAUCGACCGCAUCCAAUGGUGCCUUCAAUACCCUGUUCCGCCAUCCAUGGAGCCAGCAAACAUACAGGUUUCGACCUCACCUUUAUGUUUUUGUUCUUUACUCACAGAUUUGAACUUCCUACUUUCUAAUUGUGUGUGUCUCAUUUUCCUAGCCUGGUGAUGUUCCCUGUGAGUUCCUCAAUGGCCGCGACCGUUGCCCAAGGGUUGGGGUCCAAAAAAAUGCUCGAUGGAAUCCAGCGGAACGAUGAACCUUCAUUGCAACCUAAGAAACCGUCAUUGCUGAAGGUCAUCGCACUAGGCGGUGUUUUACAAAAGGCGGCUGGAAAUGUGUGAUAGAGUUAUUCAACUCGGCCUCCGGACAUAGGUGAAGCAAACAACAACUCCGCAACCAUUGGGACGCAAUACGUCGAGAGCACAAACGUAUGUCGGAGCUUCUUAAUUGCAAAAGGGUCAAAUACAACACUUCAACUAGAAGAAUUGUUGCCUCCGAGGAAUGGUGGUCUUGAAAAUUGAAGGUAAAAACUUUGCCCUCCAACGGUGUGUACGGUGAAUUUGUAAUUGCAAAACCGAAAUUCCAUUGCUGAGAUUUUCUGUACGAAAUGAACGUAAACAAUAUUUGUACAUGCAUGACUGGCUUUCUUUGUUUUCAACUACCUACUGCCUUCACUUGUUGGGAUGCUUUGAUAUGGUUUAGCUACUAUCGACUUAUGUGUUGCGCCACAACCGUUAUUUAGUUUCUUCUGUCACGUGCACAAACCCCAUAGGCAAAUAAAGAGUGCGGUUUCUUUUUUCCAUUCUACAUGUUAAGGUCACCUGUAAUGCCAUGAUUAUAGUGUGUUUUGCAUAUGUAGAUGUUGUUUCAUUGUGUACGUGUUGUAGUGACUUGCCUUUUGCAUCCGCACUUAGUCUCGCUAAACUAUUUUAUACUUUCAUGCAUGGGGAGGGCAUUGGGGUCAAAUUGUUGGUGCUACCAUCUAAAUGGGAUAUCGGAGUGCAAUUCUUGUUUUCUAUUAACACCUUGUGCGAUGUUAGUUUAACUGAUUUGUCCUUUCUCGCAGGAGAGCAAGGACUAAAAGGAUUUCAAGGAUUACGACAUAAGUGAGAUUUACAUUCGAUAUCGUCAGCUAUUUGGAGACAAUUAUGACAGCGAAAAGUACGCAGUUAUCCAGAUAAAGCUAUGCAGAACUUGCUUCAAUGUUUUCGAGGAUAGUGCUCUUGAAGACCACAGAGAUGCAAUCCCAGACUAGGGCAAGAGUAGCAGUUCCAGUGACGAGAGUAACGACGCGAAAGGCACCAGAAGCAUGAGCGUGUCUAGAGUCAGAAGCGACGAAAAAAGGAAGUUAUCCACAACAAAG
rnacentral:lncRNA from 1 species